rnacentral:rRNA from 1 species
GAUGAACGCUGGCGGCGUGCCUAAUACAUGCAAGUCGAGCGAACAGACGAGGAGCUUGCUUUUCUGACGUUAGCGGCGGACGGGUGAGUAACACGUGGAUAACCUACCUAUAAGACUGGGAUAACUUCGGGAAACCGGAGCUAAUACCGGAUAAUAUAUUGAACCGCAUGGUUCAAUAGUGAAAGACGGUUUUGCUGUCACUUAUAGAUGGAUCCGCGCCGCAUUAGCUAGUUGGUAAGGUAACGGCUUACCAAGGCAACGAUGCGUAGCCGACCUGAGAGGGUGAUCGGCCACACUGGAACUGAGACACGGUCCAGACUCCUACGGGAGGCAGCAGUAGGGAAUCUUCCGCAAUGGGCGAAAGCCUGACGGAGCAACGCCGCGUGAGUGAUGAAGGUCUUCGGAUCGUAAAACUCUGUUAUUAGGGAAGAACAAAUGUGUAAGUAACUAUGCACGUCUUGACGGUACCUAAUCAGAAAGCCACGGCUAACUACGUG